CUUCUUGGGGCAGGGUGAGAUUCCCGACCGGCGGUUAUAGCCCGCGAGCUGCAAAUCAGCUGAUUCUGUGAAAUUCAGAAGCCGACAGUAUAGUCUGGAUGGAAAAGAA
rnacentral:ncRNA from 1 species